rnacentral:ncRNA from 22 species
UUGACCUCGGAUCAGGUAGGGAUAC